rnacentral:rRNA from 1 species
GAACUGCCAUUGAUACUAUCUGUCUUGAAUAUUGUGGAGGUAAGCGGAAUAUGUCAUGUAGCGGUGAAAUGCUUAGAUAUGACAUAGAACACCCAUUGCGAAGGCAGCUUACUACGCAUAUAUUGACGCUGAGGCACGAAAGCGUGGGGAUCAAACAGGAUUAGAUACCCUGGUAGUCCACGCCCUAAACUAUGGAUACUCGACAUAUGCGAUACACUGUAUGUGUCUGAGCGAAAGCAUUAAGUAUCCCACCUGGGAAGUACGUUCGCAAGAAUGAAACUCAAAGGAAUUGGCGGGGGUCCGCACAAGCGGUGGAGUAUGUGGUUUAAUUCGAUGAUACGCGAGGAACCUUACCUGGGCUAGCAUGCUGGGAGAUCGCUAGUGAAAGCUAGUUUUGUAGCAAUACACUGCCAGUAAGGUGCUGCAUGGCCGUCGUCAGCUCGUGCCGUGAGGUGUUGGGUUAAGUCCCGCAACGAGCGCAACCCCUAUCUUUAGUUGCCAACAGGUAAUGCUGGGAACUCUAAAGAAACUGCCGCCGUAAGGUGUGAGGAAGGAGGGGAUGACGUCAGGUCAUCAUGGCCUUUAUGCCCAGGGCUACACACGUACUACAAUGGGGAAGACAAAGGGCUGCAACAUAGCGAUAUGAAGCCAAUCCCAAAAACUUCCUCUCAGUUCAGAUUGCAGGCUGCAACUCGCCUGCAUGAAGCUGGAAUCGCU